rnacentral:lncRNA from 1 species
AGGUUAAAUAUAUAUAUAUAUAUAUAUAUAUAUAUAUCCAUUUUGUACCCAUUUGUUUUGUAUCCAUUUAUUUUGUACCCAUUUGUUUUGUAUCCAUUUGUUUUGUAUCCAUUUGUUUUGUACCCAUUUGUUUUGUAUCCAUUUGUUUUGUAUCCAUUUGUUUUGUAUCCAUUUGUUUUGUACCCAUUUGUUUUGUAUCCAUUUGUUUUGUACCCAUUUGUUUUGUAUCCAUUUGUUUUGUAUCCAUUUGUUUUGUAUCCAUUUGUUUUGUACCCAUUUGUUUUGUAUCCAUUUGUUUUGUACCCAUUUGUUUUGUAUCCAUUUUUUUUUUUGUGUAUAUAUGUUGUUUACAUUUAUAUGUCUUUUUUUUUUUUUUUUUUUUUUUUUUUUUUUUUUUUUUUUUUUUUUUUGCAGAAGCUGUAAAUACUUUGUUCUCUGCCGACUCUUUUUUUGUUGAUCAUGUAGAAAAUUUAAAAUUAAAAUUAACUGAACGUGACCAAAAAUUGCAGUUUGAAAAUGAACGAUUAAAAAAAUUAGCACUUGAAGCAAAAGUUGAAGAAUAUGAUGACAAAUUUGAAAAGAAUAAAGAAAAGAAUAAUGAAAUGGAUGCGACCAUAAAUAAGCUCAAACAAGACAUCGAGAAGGUAUAACAUAUAUACAUAUGCACAUACUUUUGAAAGAAAACAUAAAUGUAUUUAGUACGUGCAUUUUUUUAUGUGCAUUUUUUUUUCUAUAUGCACCCUUCUUUUUUUUUUUUUUAUCCUUUAUGCUAAUGUAGUUUAAUGAAAAGAUACAAAACUACGACAACUACGUGAAAAAUAAGAGAAAAGAAAUAGACAUAAAUUUUCCUGAAAAUCUCGAAUGCAAAGAAAGGAUCAAAUUAUUAGAAGACAAGUAAGAAAUUUAAAACGAUUUUAUUAUUUAGGAAAACAUACACACUUGUGAAUAUACACACAUAUGAAUAUAUACAAACGUGUUAUGUAAAUAUUUAAAUGUACAUACUAUAUAUAUUAUGCUAAUAUACUUGUAUGUUAUAUUUAUAUUUUCUUUUCGCUUUUGCCCUUUUUUUUUUUUUUUGCCUUUUCCAUUUAUUUAUUUAUUUUAUUUUUUUUUUUUUUUUUGUAUGCUUA